ACGGCAUCAAGCGCUUGCGCCUGAUGGACGUCGACCGGCGCACGGGUGAGUAACGCGUAUCCAACCUGCCCCACACUAAGGGACAACCCGCAGAAAUGUGGGCUAAUACCUUAUAUUUUCCACCAAGGGCAUCGUUGAUGGAACAAAGAUUUAUCGGUAUGGGAUGGGGAUGCGUCCGAUUAGGUUGUUGGCGGGGUAACGGCCCACCAAGCCAUCGAUCGGUAGGGGUUCUGAGAGGAAGGUCCCCCACAUAGGAACUGAGACACGGUCCUAACUCCUACGGGAGGCAGCAGUGAGGAAUAUUGGUCAAUGGGCGGGAGCCUGAACCAGCCAAGUAGCGUGCAGGAAGACGGCCCUAUGGGUUGUAAACUGCUUUUAUGCGGGGAUAAAGGAGUCCACGUGUGGGCUUUUGCAGGUACCGCAUGAAUAAGGACCGGCUAAUUCCGUGCCAGCAGCCGCGGUAAUACGGAAGGUCCGGGCGUUAUCCGGAUUUAUUGGGUUUAAAGGGAGCGUAGGCCGCGUUUUAAGCGUGUUGUGAAAUGUAGGCGCCCAACGUCUGCAUCGCAGCGCGAACUGGAACGCUUGAGUACGCGCAACGUUGGCGGAAUUCGUCGUGUAGCGGUGAAAUGCUUAGAUAUGACGAAGAACUCCGAUUGCGAAGGCAGCUGACGGGAGCGGCACUGACGCUUAAGCUCGAAGGUGCGGGUAUCAAACAGGAUUAGAUACCCUGGUAGUCCGCACGGUAAACGAUGGAUGCUCGCUGUGUGCCUUUUAUGGUACGCGGCUAAGCGAAAGCGUUAAGCAUCCCACCUGGGGAGUACGCCGGCAACGGUGAAACUCAAAGGAAUUGACGGGGGCCCGCACAAGCGGAGGAACAUGUGGUUUAAUUCGAUGAUACGCGAGGAACCUUACCCGGGCUUGAACUGCCGGCGAACGAUCCAGAGAUGGUGAGGCCCCUCGGGGCGCCGGUGGAGGUGCUGCAUGGUUGUCGUCAGCUCGUGCCGUGAGGUGUCGGCUUAAGUGCCA
rnacentral:rRNA from 1 species